CUUCAGUGAGGGUUGCAGGGAAGGCAAUGCCAGGGAAAGGGCACUGACACCCACCCAGGCACGAGUGUGUAUUGAAACAGGCCCCAAAGUGACAGCUGCAGGCACAUUUCAGGGGGGUUCUAUUACCUCAGAGCUCUCAGAGAAUGACAAAAUCCAGACAAAGGUAAACUUUAAGAGACAGGCUCAAGUAUGGCAGUCAAGACAUGGCCAAAGCUGCACCAGACUUCCUCGAGUGGCAGAUCAGUAAAGCCUUUGGUCAAAGACUCAAGUGUUCAACAACUGCAGCAGUGCAAAACAGCCAGGACACCCAGCACCAGCUGAUACACCUGGGGCAGCUGCAGCACGAGUCAAGAGCUGCCUCUCUACAUUUACUUUCUCGUUCGUGUGAGUAUUUUCCAAGA
rnacentral:lncRNA from 1 species